UUUUGACCUCGGAUCAGGUAGGGAUACCCGCUGAACUUAAGCAUAUCAAUAAGCGGAGGAA
rnacentral:rRNA from 12 species